rnacentral:rRNA from 1 species
UACGGAGGUGGCAAGCGUUGUUCGGAAUUACUGGGCGUAAAGGGCACGUAGGCGGCCUUGUAAGUCUCGUGUGAAAGCCCUCGGCUUAACUGAGGAUCUGCACGGGAUACUGUAGGGCUCGAGUUCGGGAGAGGAAAGCGGAAUUCCGGGUGUAGCGGUGAAAUGCGUAGAUAUCAGGAGGAACACCUGCGGUGUAGACGGCUGUCUGGACCAUUACUGACACUGAGGCACGAAAGCGUGGGUAGCAAACAGG